UACGAAGGGGGCUAGCGUUGUUCGGAAUUACUGGGCGUAAAGGGCGCGUAGGCGGUGUGUCAAGUCAGGCGUGAAAGCCCCGGGCUCAACCUGGGAACCGCGCUUGAGACUGGAGAACUAGAGUUCGGGAGAGGAUGGUGGAAUUCCCAGUGUAGAGGUGAAAUUCGUAGAUAUUGGGAAGAACACCGAUGGCGAAGGCAGCCAUCUGGACCGACACUGACGCUGAGGCGCGAAAGCGUGGGGAGCAAACAGG
rnacentral:rRNA from 1 species